UUAGUAUUCAAUUAUAAGCAAUGAAAGAAUGUGAGGGGGUUAAGAAUAAUCAAGGGAGGGGUCCUAUUAAUAUAGUGGGUGAGACGUGAUUUAGAAGGGAAAAAAAAUAUGUUUUGAGGAAUCAAUUAAAUCACAAUUUUCUUAUUUCAAAGGAACGCCAAAAUUAGAGUUAUUUUUAAAUUUUUUACCUAAUAUGAAAACAUUGUAAUAGAUCCAUCAAUUUUAAUUAAGGAAACAGGGACAAUUACUAGCCUUUGGAAACUUAGCUACUUAAGUCCUUCUCAUUUUUUUUAAAAUUUAAGAGAGCCAAACAAGAAAUAAUUAUUUUUUUACCAAUUAUAAUAAAAAA
rnacentral:misc_RNA from 1 species